rnacentral:rRNA from 1 species
AUGCUGCACAUCCGGAAUGUGUGACAGGUUAAGCGUGUUGCGAGUAGCUAUUGGAGGGCAAGUCUGGUGCCAGCAGCCGCGGUAAUUCCAGCUCCAAGAGUGUAUAUUAAAGUUGUUGCGGUUGAAAAGCUCGUAGUUGGAUUUAUGCUAUGCUGGUACAGUCGACCCCCUGGGUAGGACUUGUAUUGUUGCAUUGCACACUGUAGAAUUUGUGUAUGUUUUUCAGUAAAUGUGCAGAAUACUACUUAGUUACUUUGAGGAAAGUGGAGUGUCACACGCAGGUUGCGCCGUGAACAUGCUAGCAUGGCAUGACGCUGUAUGACUACGAGUCUUUUUGAACGGUUUCGGGACACGUGGUAAUGAUUGAUAUGAGGUGUUGGGGAUACUCAUAUUUGACAGUUAGAGGUGAAAUUCUUGGAUUUGUCAAAGAUGAACAAAUGCAAUAGCAUUUAUCAUGGAUGUUUCAUUUGAUCAAGAACGAAAGUUAGGGGAUCGAAGACGAUCAGAUAUCGUCCUAGUCUUAACCAUAAACUAUGCCAACUGGAAAUUGGAAUAUAUGGAGAGAAAAUAUAUUCAGUAUUGUGCCUGAAAAGAGUAAGUGUGUGGGCUCCGGGGGGAGUAUAGUUGCAAGACUGAAACUUAAAGGAAUUGACGGAAGGGCACCACCAGGAGUGGAGCCUGCGGCUUAAUUUGACCCAACACGGGAAAUCUCACCAAGUCCAGACAUACGCAGGAUUGACAGAUUAAUUGCUCUUUCUCGAUUGUAUGGGUGGUGGUGCAUGGCCGUUCUUAGUUGGUGGAGUGAUUUGUCUGGUUAAUUCCGUUAACGAACGAGAUCCUAUUCUGCUAACUGUUGCAACAGUCUUUGGAAUGUUGGUACACUUAGAGGGACAUUGCGUGAGUAAUGCACGGAAGAGUCGGGCAAUAACAGGUCUGUGAUGCCCUUAGAUGUCCUGGGCUGCACGCGCGCUACAAUGGCACAUGCCCCAAUGUACCUAUGUCUGACAAGAACAUAGGAUCAAGCAACGAUGCCGUGCCGGGAAUAGAUGAUUGUAAUUUUUUAUCUUGAACGAGGAAUUCCUAGUAAGAACAGAUCAACAUUCUGUGCUGAUUACGUCCCUGCCCUUUGUACACACCGCCCGUCGCUCCUACCGAUUGAGUAAUCCGGUGAAUGGUGACGAUUGUUCGAACGCUCCUGAGCCUCGUGCAACAAGCAUCGUUAACCUCACUACUUAGAGGAAGGAGAAGUCGUAACAAGGUU